rnacentral:rRNA from 1 species
UACGUAGGGUGCAAGCGUUGUCCGGAAUUAUUGGGCGUAAAGAGCUCGUAGGCGGUCUGUCGCGUCGGCUGUGAAAACUCGGGGCUCAACCCCGAGCCUGCAGUCGAUACGGGCAGACUAGAGUGCGGUAGGGGAGACUGGAAUUCCUGGUGUAGCGGUGAAAUGCGCAGAUAUCAGGAAGAACACCCGUGGCGAAGGCGGCUCUCUGGGACGGUACUGACGCUGAGACGCGAAAGCGUGGGGAGCGAACAGG